AAUCUACCUAUAGGUUCGGGACAACAGUUAGAAAUGACUGCUAAUACCGGAUGUGCCUUCGGGUGAAAGUUUUAAUGCCUAUAGAUGAGCUUGCGUCCGAUUAGCUAGAUGGAGUGGUAACGGCACACCAUGGCGACGAUCGGUAGCUGGUCUGAGAGGAUGACCAGUCACACUGGAACUGAGACACGGUCCAGACUCCUACGGGAGGCAGCAGUGGGGAAUUUUCCGCAAUGGGCGAAAGCCUGACGGAGCAAUACCGCGUGAGGGACGAAGGUCUGUGGAUUGUAAACCUCUUUUGUUAGGGAAGAUAAUGACGGUACCUAACGAAUAAGCAUCGGCUAACUCCGUGCCAGCAGCCGCGGUAAGACGGAGGAUGCAAGCGUUAUCCGGAAUUAUUGGGCGUAAAGCGUACGUAGGCUGUUAGAUAAGUCUGUUGUCAAAGCGCGAGGCUCAACCUUGUAAAGGCAAUGGAAACUGUUUGACUAGAGAGAGAUAGGGGCAGGAGGAAUUCCAGGUGUAGCGGUGAAAUGCGUAGAUAUCUGGAAGAACACCAGUGGCGAAAGCGUCCUGCUGGAUCUCAACUGACGCUGAAGUACGAAAGCUAGGGG
rnacentral:rRNA from 1 species